UUUGUCAUUGUUGUAAGUAUAUCUAUCACACAACUUUUGCCAAUUUAACUUUUUACAGGUGUACAACUUGUUGACAGCAAUUAAAAUAAUUGGAUGUUCAGCCCUACCCUUAAUCAAAGCAAUUUUUCCAUCACCAUUAACUUCCCUUUUUCUCCUCCUUCCCACCCCUGAUAACCACUAAUAAACUUUGGUCUCUAUACAUUUGGCUUUUCUUGUCUUGUUAUAUAAGUGAAGUCAUACAAUAUUUGUCCUUUUGUGAUUGGCUUAUUUCGCACAGCAUAAUGUCUUGAGGCUCCAUCCGUAAUGUAGCAUGUAUCAUGACUUCAUUUCUCCUACUGGCAGAGUAGUAUCCCAUCGUAUAUGUGUACCCUAUUUUGUUUAUCCAUUCAUCUAUUGAUGGACAUUUAGGUGUUUCACCUUUUGGCUGUUGUGCUGCAAUGAACAUUGGUGUACAAGUCUCUUUUUGAGUCUCUGCUUUCAGGUCUUUUGGGUACAUACCUUGUUGGGUCUACUUGUAGUGUUUUGGUUUUUUGAGGAACCGCCACACUGUUUUCUACAACGGCUGUACCAUUUUUCAUUCCCACCAGCAAUGGAUAUGGUUUCCCUUACUCUCCUUUAAAUGACAAAAUUGUUAGAUUCCUGUUCUGCUUUUAAACACAUUCUGGCAUCAGUUGCUGUUUUCUGACCUCAAAUUAUAAAAUAGGUUGGGAGUGCUUAUUUUAAAACUACAAGGGCAUUGAGAUGUUAGGCUUCUUUUUGCUGACAUACUGAGGCAAGGCAUUUCAAGAAAGCUUUGUGUUUCCUUUCUAUCGUACAAGUUACUCUGCUGUAAAUUUCAGGUUGAGAUCUUACAAUAUAAUUACAGUUUUCCCCUUUCUUGUCCUUUGGGUAACCUUUCUUUGCAGUAAGAAAUACAACUGGUCCCUUGGCUGUCAGGAAAUACAGAUGGGAGAUUGAGCUUAUUCGGGUUUGUCUAGCUGUAAGGUAUGCUGUACAGCGCUUCCUUAUGCCUGGCCCCACACUUCCUUUACACCAACACUGUCCUGCCAAAAGACGGAAACCCUGGAGGAGGGCCGAAUCUAGUUUAUUACUUGCCUGUUGGAAAUGUAUGGUUGUGUUUUUUGGCGAGGCACAAGCAAAGCCCAGUUAUUUGACUGCUCCGAAGUUUAGCUCCAUUUAUACUCUGGACACUGAUACAUGUGCAUGUGUGAACAGCAGCUUCAUUUCCCCCCAGUUUGCCUGCCCUAGAAGUGCUCCUGAGUAGCUGGCCCUGCCAGCUUUCCUAGGACUGGUUGCAUAUGCCAAGCGUGAGAGUCCCUGUCCUUCUCCCUUCCCCAGCUCACUUCCAGUCUACCAGAGUGAGCAGUGUUAGAGGCCCAGGUAGCCUCCUCUCUUGUGAGGAAUGCCAGAGUAACUACAACCUAUAAGCUAACAGAUAGGCAGUAUUAAGGACACAUGGGUUAUAGAAUGGCAACUAGGGCUGGGAAAGGAUAUUCCAUAUCCUACAUCUCUUUCAGUGAAGAAAACCAAGAUAUUUUAGCAAAUUUGAGCAUUGCUGCAAUGCCUAGAACAAUGCCUGACACACAGCAGGCAUUUAAUAAAUGUUUGUUAAAUGAACAACUGAUUAUAUUCUUUGGUUAUUUCAGUAUCUUUGUCCUAGUGACGGACAAGCUUUCUCAUUUUACUGGAGAGAAUAAAGACUAUGAGAGUUGUAUUAGGUAUGAUAAGCUAGACUGUAGCUAUAUAUAGACUAAAAAAUGUGCAAUGACUCAAAUACAACAGAAGUUUAUUUCUUGCUCAUGUUCAAGGUGGAUGUUUCUUUUUAGCAGGUGACUCUUCUCCAUCAAGUGAUUCAGGGAUUCAGCUUCUCCCAUCUCGUGGUUCUGUCAGACCCAAAAUCCUCAUCAAUGAUAACAUCCAGUUGGCUGAAAGGGAAAGAGGAUGGAAUAGCUCAUAUGGAAGGUUCUUAUGGACCAAACCUAUAAGUGUCACACAUCACUUUGGCUAGAACUCAGCCAUAUUGACACAACUAACUCCAAAGGGGGAUGGGAAAUGUAGUCUAUAUGUGUGCCCUAGUUUGUACUAAAUUUUGAGCAACAUUUUGAACACCCGUGUCAUCUUUGAACUUAAAUUAUUCAAAUGCAUCUGUAGCCUCUUGUGAAAUUCCGAAGGGUUGGUGCAAGGUUCCGUAGUAAAUUUCACUUCGUUUAAGUCCUCCUAUCAAUGAAAAACAAAGUGAUAUUAGGAAAAGACAUGCUGCUAAUGUUGAGUGAAAAAACUACAGUAUUAUUUAGUAUGAUCUCAACUAUAUUAAAUACCCUUAAAAAUGAUUAGAAGGAAACAAUAUGACAAUUGUGCUUGCCCUUUAGAGAUGAGAUUAUUAUAACUGGAACGUGUAUUUUCUUUCUUCUUCCAAAUUGGAGAUACUGUUUUUUUUUUUUUUCUUCACAAUACAUGAGCCUUAUAAAGGUUCUGUCCCUGCCUGUAGAUUUUUUUUUAACCACUGAGAUAAGAGUAUGCCCUUCAGAACUUCGUAGCCAUAUGCAUCUACAUGUCCACUUCAUUUAUUAACUUACUCAGCUCUGUGCCAGGCUCUGUUCUAAAUGUUAAGGAUAUAUCACUGAACAAAACAGAGAAAAAUCCCUCCUUCAUGGCCCUUAUGUUCCACUGAGGAAAUGCAAUAAAUUAGGUAAAAAGUAAAAUAUAUAGCAUGUAAGAUGGUGAUAAGUGCCAAGGAUGAAAAAUAAAGCAAGAAAGGGGAUAUGAAAUGUCAUUGGGUGGAAAUCUUGAAGGCCUUACUGAGAAAGGAACUUCUUAUUUAAUGAUCUCCUGGCUAGUACAGAACUAGCCAGGAGACUCCUCCUCAUAACUCUGUGCCUAACAUUUAUCAAUUUUUUUGGCCAAUAACUAUCACAAUACCAUAGUUACUGUGUUACUAUGUUAACAUAGUUAGUAAUGAAUUAACUAUUCAUUUUUAACAAUCUGCUCAUUGUCAUACUUAUCUGGACACUCUGAACUGGAGUCUUAUUUGCUAUCUGUGUUGUUAGUUGGGAGAACACUUGCAAGUCUAUACUCCCUUUAAAAACAUCUCUAAUUUUCUUAGGUCUCAAGGAUUCCCAAAGGAUUUCUCCAGGAUGUGUCCCUUAAUUUUGAGGCAACCGUUAACUUUCUCCUGCCCAUACGGACAAACUAUGAUAUCUUAAGACUUAACCAACACCAUGGCAUCAGUCCACAGUUCUCAUUGUGCACAUGAGCACUCAUCAGUUGCCUAAGGCCAUCUUGAACCAUUACUAGAAAUUGCCCGUGUAGAAAGUUAAGGGGACAGCCAAUCUGCAGCCCAGAGCAGGUGGGAUAAUGAGUGGGAAGUGCUCUGCAGGGCUAUAAGGAGCUGUGCAAAUGAAAGGAUUAUUUUUUGGAGUAAAAAUCAUGUAUUUCAAAGGCAGCAAGACCAACAGGAAGGCAAUGCAGGCUAUCAUGCGUUCUAUACAAGUAGGAACUUGAGCAGCAUAGUUACAGCAUAGUUUCAGUAAUGGUUUUUUUCCUGUAUUCCAAAGUACCUCAGCCUCUUUCCCUCCUCAUCUGGAAGUUUAAGACUUCUUUUUUUCACCUUGCUGAGACUUAGAUUCUCUGUAAUCAGCCACUCACCUGCAUUUUCUGCUUAUACUAGUCAUAGUUGUGUUCUCGAAAAUCCACUAACCUCAGACUGCUCUGUGGUCCCUACUCAUACUCUGUGUCUCUGGCAGUGCUCCUUCUUGCUAGAUGUCAUCCCAACUUUGCCUGAUGACUGCUCUAGUCCCAUUGAAGCACAGCUCAAAGGCCAACAGCCUUUAUAGAUAAAGUAUUCCCAGUUCCCUCGGUCGGAGGAAUCUCCCUCCUCACUUCUCCCUGGUUCUCAGUAAAUGUUUACUGGAUGUAUUUAUUGAGUUGUCACCUCAUUUCUCCACAUGCGUAGUGAUAUGGGCCUCUUGACUGUGAAACAGGUUCUCACGUGUCAGGAGAGGUUGUCCAGCAUUGCGUUUAGGAGCCCAGGCUCUGGCAUCAACUGCUAGAUCUAGCAAAUUGUUACGUUACCAUCGUUAUCCUUGCUGCCAUCAACAUUAUCAUCCAUCAUCGUCCCAUGUUCGGUACCUAUGGUUUCUGUCUUCAGACAAGGGUGGAGGAUUUUAGCUGUAAAGUAACACUUCCACACAACCUUCAAGGUCUGUUUUCUGCUUCGUGUCAAAAAAAAAAGUUGUGUUCAUGGAUAGUUUGGUUGCAUAAAGGUGAUUAUUAUAGAGUGCGUACUUACCCCGGUUCCACAUUGUUUAGUCACCUUAGCCCAGGUUUCAAAGUACUCAGUAUGUCACUUAAGUCACACUUACUUUACUUCCUUUUAAUCCUAGGUAGUGGAAAGAAAGGUCCAGAUUACUGGCAUGGCUCCCAGAUUUUCUUCAGCCUCCAUUCACUCCACCUACUGACAUGGCUUCUUCAACUCCUCCCCUAAUGUAGUAGAAAUAGCAUUUUAGCUGUCUUUUUUUACAUGUUUACCAUGUACCAGGUCUAGAAUAGGCAUUUCACAUACAUUAUCAUUGACAUAUGACAGAUAAAGAAACUGAGGUUCAAAGACCUGGAAGGUAAUUUUCUUUUUUUAUUUUAUUGUGCUUUAGGGGAAAGUUUACAAUACAAAUUAAUUUCUCAUUCAAAAAUUUAUACACACACUAUUUUGUGACAUUGGUUGCAAUUCUCACGAUGUGUCAGCACUCUCCCCAUUUCCACCCCAAGUUCCCCGUGUCCAUUCAUCCAGUUUUCCUGUCCCUUCCUGCCUUCUCGUCUUUGCUUUUGGGCAGGUGUUACCAAUUUGGUCUUGUGUACUUGAUUGAGCUAAGGAACAUGUUUCUCACGUGUGCUAUUGUUUUAUAGGCCCGUCUAAUCUUUGGCUGAAAGGUGGACUUGGGGAGCAGCUUCAGUUCUGAGUUAGCAGGGUGUCCGAGGGCCAUAGUCUCGGGGGUUCUUCCAGUCUCUGUCAGACCAGAAAGCUUGGGGGUUUUUUUUGUUGUUGUUAAUUUGAGUUUUGUUCUACAUUUUUCUCCAGCUCUGUCUUGGACCCUCUAUUGUGAUCUGUUAGAGCAGUCGGUGGUGGUAGCCGGGCACCAUUUGUUCUUCCGUAAAGUCCAUGUUCUUUAAGCCCUCUACAUCAUUUUUCAGAAGGUUUGAAAAUUCAGUGUUAGUACUUCUGCUCCAAGAACAGAAUUCCCAAAUCAGGAUUAUCUAGCCCUGGAUAGCGUGCUGAUAUUUAAAAGACUCACCAGAGACUAAUUUAUAAUUAUGUCAGCUUAAUAAUUUACCUUAAGUGAUGAACCUUAUAAAUAGAAUACUUGAUCUGGAAGAUUCAAGUUUCUGCAAAAUAGAUUGUCUUCAGACAGCAAAGCAGUUAGCAGAAGAUUCUCUGAUCAGCAUAGGGAAAUAUUGUUUUACAUUAUUACAGUCCUUUUUUUUUUUUAUUGUACUUUAGAUGAAGGUUUACAGAACAAACUAGCUUCUCCUUAAACAUUUAGUACACAUAUUGUUUUAUGACAUUGGUUAACAACCCCACGACACGUCAACACCCCCUUCUCGACCUUGGGUUCUGUAUUACCAGCUCUCCUGUUCCCUCCUGCCUCCUAGUCCCUGCCCCUGGGCUGGUGUGCCCCUUUGGUCUCGUUUUGUUUUAUGGGCCUGUCUAAUCUUUGGCUGAAGGAUAAACUCAGGAGUGACUUCAUUACUGAGCAGAAAGGGUUUCUGGGGGCCAUACUCUUCGGGGUUUCUCCAGUCUGUCAGGCCAGUGAGUCUGGUCUUUUUUUCUGAGUUAGAAUUUUGUUCUACAUUUUUCUCCAGCUUUGUCCGGAACCCUUUAUUGUGAUUCCUGUCAGAGCAGUCAGUGGUGGUAGCUGGGCACCAUCUAGUUGUACUAGACCCAGUCUGGUGGAAUGCCAUCGUAGUUGUGAUACGUAGGUCCUUUGGACUAAUCUUUCCCUUAUAUCUUUAGUUUUCUUUGUUCUCCCUUGCUCCCAAAGGGGUGAGACCCUAAAAGGUAAUUUGUUUAAAGGUUCAGAGGUGUUGUAAUGGUAGAGCUGGGACACAAACCCAGAUCUGUAACCCGUACUCAGACUCCAGAGCCCAUGCUUUUUCUCCUGUUCUUUUUGCUUUCCCUUCAAUUCUUUAUCUAAAAACAUUUUACUUCCCGGUUCCUGUCCUUGGACUAAAGUCACUUUCCCUGACCCAGUAUUCCUUUAGAAUAUUCCUUUAAUAGCUUCACAAGUACACUUUUACAUUUCAGAAGCAAUCCUUAUAGCAUGCAGUGCCACUUAAAAAAAUAUAACCCUGAAGACCCCACAUUUACAUCUUUAAAGUGAUAACUCUGCCAACUUCCAGGGCAUCUUUUCCACACUCCUGAUCACUUUUUUGAAAAAAGAGCUUUUUACUGGUGUGUCAGAGGACUGUAGUAGCAAUUAAGGUUGACAAAGGGGCAUAGUCAGGAAGGCCAAAGUGGGGACUAGUGCUGAGGGGCUUUGUACACCCCCCACUCCUCCCUGCCACUCCUUCCCCGUCCCUCACCCCCGUGCCCAGAGGUGUCUUUAAUCAGUCUGUGAGAAGAGCUGGAUGCUGGGCCUGUUGCAGAACAGAGACAUUUCGAGGAGGAGGCUAAAGGUCUUCUAAGAUGUUUACGUGCCCUAAACUGUUGCCUUCCAUGGAGUCUAGGGAAACUCUCUCAAGGAAGAAGGAGGAGUUAGGGUUUCUUCCCUCAGACUUGUGUUUUUUAUCUCUGGUCAUCUUUUCUUUUCCUGUUUGCUGCCUUCCAGUGCCACUUUCCAGCCCUUUUUGGGGCCAAGGGCCAGGGGCCAGGAAGGGUGAUCUGCCCGAUUUUAACGUGUUUAAGGAGCCCUGUGGCGCAGUGGCUAAGCACUCAGCUGCUAACCAAAAAGUUGGCAGUUUUAAGCCACCAGCCACUCUGUGGGAGAAAGAUGUGGCAGUCUAUGUCCAUAAAGAUUAUAGCCUUGGAAACCCUAUGGUGCAGUUCUACUCUGUCUUGUAGGGUUGGAACCAGCUUGACCGCAAUGGGUUUGGAUUUUUGAGGGGCUUAACGUGUUUAUGUUUUUGGAACUGCUUAAAAGUUUGGGGAUCUCUUCCCUGCCUUCCUGCCUAGACAUACGAUUAUGGGUAAGAAGGCAUAAGGGGAAGUUGAGCAAGUCAUAAAAACAAAGUGAUGCAAUUCAAAUUUCUGAGGCCCUGGUGUCUCUGGAUUCUCUUGAUGACUCAAAUAAAAUUUGUUUCUUUACUGAGACAUUUAGAUACGUCGUUUGAACAAAGGAAAGGAUCUCUUCAAAAUGUCCAAGAUGUGGUAAUCGAUGCCAUUCAGCCUGUGGUGUAAUUAAUGAAAACAUUGGCAAGAGUCUGCCCAUUGUGUGUCCAUUGCACAACAGGAAAUGGCAGACUAAUAAUGCGCUGGUGAAGGUUCACGUAACUCCAGAGGGAAGUAAGAAGUGCAUACAGUUUUGACGAUAACCUUCUAACUGCAGAUCUAGGCUCACCUGGGCAGAUUCCUGUUCCUAAUGGGUAUGGAGAUAUUUGUUUGAUUUGAUUUUGUCAUUUGGUUUUGGCAACGUCAGGUAACGGUAGAUUUCUGUUUUCCUUAUAAACAGAAAUUGUGUCUUGAAAAACUGUUUUCAGUCACAGUUCUCAGCAACAAUUAUAAUUUGUUGGAUAAGGUAGAACUAAUGAUGGAAAAGGAACUGUUAUCAUCAGGAAAGAGUUGAUUCAGACAGCUGACAGUAACAUGGUGUGGUGGACCUUGGAACCAGGAGAUCUGGGUUCCAGUUCUGGCUCUGUCAGUACCAGCUUUGUGAGCCUAGGCAGACUGCUCUACCUUUCUGACCAGUCUUCAUCUGUAAAAUGAGGGGAGUGAGAUUAAAAGAUCUCUCAGGACUCUGUCAGUGGAACAAUUCUAUGUUCUAAGCACCCGAUGAUGUCAAGGAUUGUGAAAUGCUUGUUCAGGUAAAAUGUCAGAGUACAAAGUAUACAAACAGACUUUGCCAGUGAAAAUAGAUUCAUCUGCUGACAAAUAAUUUAUUCCUUUAGACUCCUCUCAGUUUUGUUUUGUAAAUGUCCAUGUUUUGUCAGGUAAUUUGUUACUGUUUUCACUAUUAGCAAAAUCAAUAUUGGUGGUUAAAUUAGAAACAUAAGUGUUCUAUUCCUUUUGAAAACUAAAAGUUACCAUUUAAAUUAAUCUGUUAAGGAUUUAGAAAAGCUAUUGAGCACAUUGCUCCACAUGGUCUGUAUUUAACCGAAAUGAAUUGACAUUUGAAUUUGAGUAGCUCUCUAGAAAAGAUACACCAAGAUUUAGGCAAAAAAAGCAUGGAUUUGGAGUCCAGCAGACAUGGGCUUGAAUUCUGGCUUGAUUGCUGUAGUUGUAUGAUCCUGGGCAUGAUUUGUGAUCUCUGAAUCCCCAAUUCUUCAUCUCUAGUAUGAGAAUGAUAAUGUUUUCCUUUAUAGGAUUGUUGUGAGGAAUAAAGAUGACAUAUUUUUUUUUAUGUCAAGUGCGUAGUACAAUGCCUGAUGUUUAAUAGAUACUCAGUAGAUAUUAGUUAUAACUGCACAUUAAAAUCACUAGGGAAUUACUGAAUAUUAUAUACUGUGUUCUACCCACGUAAUCAUCCUAAUAUGAUGGGCAUAGGUUACCAAAAGAAAUAGUCUCACUGGUAUGGAGUUCAUAUUUUCUUUUUGGUAGAGCAUGUGGACUGAGAUUUGCUUUUUGUCUGAUUUACAGAUCAGAGGUGUGCAUAUGAAAAUAACGGAUGAGAGUUUAUUCUUAUAAACUGCCAUUGGAAGCUAUUGCCUUCAGAAACGGGGUCACUUCAAAAUGUCUACUUGCCGUUUAAGUUAUUUGGAUGCAUGAUGUUGCUAAUGUAAAGAUUCAGGAUUGGAAUGAACACAGCUUUUUACCUUGGACUAUUCCUCCGGUGUCAAGAAGAGUUCCGAGACCAAGUUGGGCUUAUGCAGCAGCCAUGAUGGGUUCUGAUAUCUGUCACAGGUGUGGAGGAAGGAAGUAAAAGUAAUUGAGUAUAUUUAGUUAUUUAAUUAUUUUUGGAAACUGAGGUAUAAUUCACAUACCAUAAAACUACCCCUUUAAAGUUUACAAUUCAGUGGAUUUUAGUACAUUCACAAGGUUGUACAACCACCACCAGCAUCCAAUUCUAGAAUAUUUUCAUUACCGCAAAAAAGAAACCCCUUACUCAUUAACAGUCACUCCCCACUCUCUCCUUCCUCCAGCUUCUACCUAUUUUUUGUCUCUUUGGAUUGAUUGGCCUAUUCUGGACAUCUCAUAUAUAUGGAAUUACAAUAUGUAUGUAACCUUUUAUGUCUGACUUCUUUCACUUAGCAUAAUGUUUUCAGGGUUCAUCUAGGUUGUAGCAUUUAUCAAUACUUCAUUUUUAUGGCUCAGUGAUAUUCUGUUGUAUGAAUAAUACCACAUUUUGUUUAUCCAUUCUUCAGUUGAUUGGCAUUGGGAUUGUUUUCACUUCUGGCUGUGAACAUCAUAUAGAAAUGAUAUGCACGUCAUUUUUGUGUGUACAUAUGUUUUCAGUUCUCUUGGGUAUAUACCCAAGGGCUGUUAUGCAUUGAAUUGUGUCCCCCAGAAAUAUGUGUUGUAAAUCCUAACCUCUGUGCCUGUGGUGGAGCCCUGGUGAUGCAGUGGUUAAAGAGCUCAACUGCUAACAAAAGGUCGACAGCUCACAUCUACCAGCCGCUCCUUGGAAACCCUGUGGGUCAGUUCUGCUCCGCCCUAUAGGGUCACUGUGAGUCCGACUCAAGGACAACAGGGUAGGACUGUGGUUUUAAUACCAUUUGGGAAUGAGUUGUCUCUGUUAUGUUAAUGAGACAGAAUUAGUGUAGGGUGUGUUUUGAGUCAAUCUCUUUUGAGAUAUAAAAGCAAUUAAAUAAGCAAGCAGAAAAGCAGAGAUGGGGGAAGAGAGAU